AUUGAACGCUGGCGGCAGGCCUAACACAUACAAGUCGAACGAGUGGCGGACGGGUGAGUAAUGUCUGGGAAACUGACUGAUGGGGGGGGAUAACUACUGGAAACGGUAGCUAAUACCGCAUGCCAUCAGCUGUGCCCAGAUGGGAUUAGCUAGUAGGUGGGGUAAAGGCUCACCUAGGCGACGAUCCCUAGCUGGGCUGAGAGGAUGACACGCCACACUGGAAUUGAGACACGGCCCAGACUCCGACGAGAGGCAGGAGUGGGGAAUAGUGUACAAUGGGAGCAAGCCUGAUGCAGCUAUGCCGGGUGGAUGAAGACGGCCUUCGGGUUGUAAAGUUCUGUCAGCGGGGAGGCGUUACCCGCAGAAGAAGCACCGGCUAACUCCGUGCCAGCAGCCGCGGUAAUUC
rnacentral:rRNA from 1 species